rnacentral:rRNA from 1 species
CCCUUAGAUGUUCUGGGCUGCACGCGCGCUACACUGAAGCUAUCAACACGUUUUCCCUCCCUGAGAAGGGCGGGUAACCUUUUGAAUCAGCUUCGUGGUAGGGAUCGGGGCUUGCAAUUGUUCCCCGUGAACCAGGAAUUCCUAGUAGACGCGAGUCAUAAGCUCGCAUCGAUUAAGUCCCUGCCCUUUGUCCACACCGCCCGUCGCUACUACCGAUUGAACGUUUUAGUGAGGCAUUUGGACCGACGCAUCUCAGUUUAACCGCUGGUUUGUGUUGGAAAGACUUCCAAACUUGAGCGUUUAGAGGAAGUAAAAGUCGUAACA